AAGCUGUCUAUGGCUAUACCACCCUGAACACGCCCAAUCUCGUCUGAUCUCAGAAGCUAAGCAGGGUUGGGCCUGGUUAGUACUUGGAUGGG
rnacentral:miRNA from 1 species